UACUCCUACGGGAGGCAGCAGUAGGGAAUCUUCCGCAAUGGGCGAAAGCCUGACGGAGCAACGCCGCGUGAGUGAAGAAGGAUUUCGGUUCGUAAAGCUCUGUUGUUAGGGAAGAAUGAUUGUAUAGUAACUAUAUACAGUAGAGACGGUACCUAACCAGAAAGCCACGGCUAACUACGUGCCAGCAGCCGCGGUAAUACGUAGGUGGCAAGCGUUGUCCGGAAUUAUUGGGCGUAAAGCGCGCGCAGGUGGUUUAAUAAGUCUGAUGUGAAAGCCCACGGCUCAACCGUGGAGGGUCAUUGGAAACUGUUAAACUUGAGUGCAGGAGAGAAAAGUGGAAUUCCUAGUGUAGCGGUGAAAUGCGUAGAGAUUAGGAGGAACACCAGUGGCGAAGGCGGCUUUUUGGCCUGUAACUGACACUGAGGCGCGAAAGCGUGGGGAGCAAACAGGAUUAGAUACCCUGGUAGUCCACGCCGUAAACGAUGAGUGCUAAGUGUUGGUCUCAUAAGAGAUCAGUGCUGCAGCUAACGCAUUAAGCACUCCGCCUGGGGAGUACGACCGCAAGGUUGAAACUCAAAUGAAUUGACGGA
rnacentral:rRNA from 1 species